GUCCACUGGGAAACGGCCGAAUGAAUGGACACGGUGGCGAGGACUCAACUGAGCCCAGAGGAUGUGUGGCGUCUCUGUUUGCUCUUUUGUUUGGCGAAGAGGCUUCCCGGAGGUCAGAGUGACAACAGAACGGACAUACGCGGGAUGCCAAGAGAAAACGAUUGACUAAUCCGUUCAGCGCGAGACCAAAGGCUGGACUAACGGAGUUCCGACAUGGGUGGCAAGGACCAUUGGAAGCCUCGCGUCAACAGGACCUGAUAUGCGCAGUAGAGUUCUCCGGAGGAACCUCGGCGGAACAACACUAACUUGAAUGCUCCAGUGGAAUCCGGCCGGCAGUAAUGCAUCGCUAUGGGUCCCCGCCGCGGAGUUGGCUGGGACUUCGCCUACGCCUCAGUGAGAAGCCGCUGCUGGAGGAGAAGGGUGGAGUCCUGUGCCAACACCAGGCCUGUCCAGACCCUCGUCCUGCUGC